AGUUGUAAUUUGCAGAGGAUGCGUCGGGCACGGGUUCCUUCCGAGUUCCCUGGAACGGGACGCCAUAGAGGGUGAGAGCCCCGUCUGGUUGGAUACCUAGCCCAUGUGAUGCUCCCUCGAC
rnacentral:rRNA from 1 species